rnacentral:rRNA from 1 species
UACAGGGGGGGCAAGCGUUGUUCGGAAUUACUGGGCGUAAAGGGCUCGUAGGUGGCCAACUAAGUCAGACGUGAAAUCCCUCAGCUUAACUGGGGAACUGCGUCUGAUACUGGAUGGCUUGAGUUUGGGAGAGGGAUGCGGAAUUCCAGGUGUAGCGGUGAAAUGCGUAGAUAUCUGGAGGAACACCGGUGGCGAAGGCGGCAUCCUGGACCAACACUGACGCUGAGGAGCGAAAGCGUGGGGAGCGAACAGG